UGCGUAGGUGGUUUCUUAAGUCAGAGGUGAAAGGCUACGGCUCAACCGUAGUAAGCCUUUGAAACUGGGAAACUUGAGUGCAGGAGAGGGGAGUGGAAUUCCUAGUGUAGCGGUGAAAUGCGUAGAUAUUAGGAGGAACACCAGUUGCGAAGGCGGCUCUCUGGACUGUAACUGACACUGAGGCACGAAAGCGUGGGGAGCAAACA
rnacentral:rRNA from 1 species